rnacentral:rRNA from 1 species
GACGAACGCUGGCGGCGUGCUUAACACAUGCAAGUCGAACGGAAAGGCCCUGCUUUUGUGGGGUGCUCGAGGGGCGAACGGGGGAGUAACACGUGAGUAACCUGCCCUUGACUUAGGGAUAACUUCAGGAAACUGGGGCUAAUACCGGAUAGGAGCUCCUGCUGCAUGGUGGGGGUUGGAAAGUUUCGGCGGUUGGGGAUGGACUCGCGGCGUAUCAGCUUGUUGGUUGGGUAGUGUGUGACCAAGGCUUUGCCGGGUAGCCGGCCUGGGAGGGUGACCGGCCACGCUGGGACUGGAAUACGGCCCAGACUCCUACGGGAGGCAGCAGUGGAGAAUAUUGCACAAUGGGCGGAAGCCUGAUGCAGCAACGCCGCGUGCGGGAUGACGGCCUUCGGGUUGUAAACCGCUUUCGCCUGUGACGAAGCGUGAGUGACGGUAAUGGGUAAAGAAGCACCGGCUAACUACGUG